CGUGAAGUGCAUUGUCUCUACUCCGCCUGUGUUCGCGUCUCGCGCUGUGCGAAAUAAUUUUAAACGUGUGAUUAGUUUUGUGUGCGGUGUAGAAAAAGAUGUGGCCCGUGCUGUGUGUAUUACUCGUGCCCCACUUCAAAGCAAAGCGUUCGUACACACUGGAAGAUAGAUCCAUGGAGGCUGAGACGAGCAGUUGCAAUGUGCCCGGUGUCGGCGGUCGGUAGUACUGCCAUUAUGGAAAUUAUCAUGCAAGUGCCCAUUUAUUUGCGAGUGUUCCCGCCUGGAAGCAGAGUUUGGUUUCAAGCCACACUGGACAACUGCUGUAUGAGGCGCCGUUUCUCGGGCGGACCAGCGGGAAGGCGUCAGCUCAUGCAGAUGAUAGCAGCAGUUUCUCAAUGCCCAGCCUUGGUGCCCUCCAUCAAGAGCAAGCCACUUGCGUUUGCCUUCAGACAGAUGGUUGAUGUCUUCUUGAAAGCAGUAGGGAAGACAACAUUGAUGCAAGAUUCCAGCAAUGCCAUGCGCUGCAUUUAUUGGUCAAGAUGCUCAGAGAAUGGAGUCCCUGCAUCUCUUGGUUAACCGUGAAGAUUUUUUUUCUUUUGGAAAGCUAAGUGCCAUUUGCUGCAUCAAUUGCAUUCUUGCAGCUCAAAUAUGUACUAUAUUUUUUCUAAUUUUGAAUCAAUUAACAUUCACCGUUCAGUAUAAAAAAUGAUGUACAGCGUGAAGGACAAGGACUGCGAGAUGAAUACACUGCGCUGACUUCCAACAAUAUUUUAUUUCAUUGCCACAUCGUGUGUAUGUACACAAGAGGGGUCAUGCGCAGAAAAUGAAAGGCAG